rnacentral:rRNA from 1 species
UGCAAGUCGAGCGGUAAGGCCCUUCGGGGUACACGAGCGGCGAACGGGUGAGUAACACGUGAGCAACCUGCCCCUGACUCUGGGAUAAGCGGUGGAAACGCCGUCUAAUACCGGAUAUGACCUGCCACCUCAUGGUGGCGGGUGGAAAGUUUUAUCGGUCAGGGAUGGGCUCGCGGCCUAUCAGCUUGUUGGUGGGGUAACGGCCUACCAAGGCGAUUACGGGUAGCCGGCCUGAGAGGGCGACCGGCCACACUGGGACUGAGACACGGCCCAGACUCCUGCGGGAGGCAGCAGUGGGGAAUAUUGCACAAUGGGCGAAAGCCUGAUGCAGCGACGCCGCGUGGGGGAUGACGGCCUUCGGGUUGUAAACCUCUUUUACCACCAACGCAGGCUCCGGGUUUUCUCGGGGUUGACGGUAGGUGGGGAAUAAGGACCGGCUAACUACGUGCCAGCAGCCGCGGUAAUACGUAGGGUCCGAGCGUUGUCCGGAAUUAUUGGGCGUAAAGAGCUCGUAGGCGGCAUGUCGCGUCUGCUGUGAAAGACCGGGGCUUAACUCCGGUUCUGCAGUGGAUACGGGCAUGCUAGAGGUAGGUAGGGGAAACUGGAAUUCCUGGUGUAGCGGUGAAAUGCGCAGAUAUCAGGAGGAACACCGGUGGCGAAGGCGGGUUUCUGGGCCUUACCUGACGCUGAGGAGCGAAAGCAUGGGGAGCGAACAGGAUUAGAUACCCUGGUAGUCCAUGCCGUAAACGUUGGGCGCUAGGUGUGGGGACUUUCCACGGUUUCCGCGCCGUAGCUAACGCAUUAAGCGCCCCGCCUGGGGAGUACGGCCGCAAGGCUAAAACUCAAAGGAAUUGACGGGGGCCCGCACAAGCGGCGGAGCAUGUUGCUUAAUUCGACGCAACGCGAAGAACCUUACCAAGGUUUGACAUCACCCGUGGACCUGUAGAGAUACAGGGUCA